UUGGACCUUGGGCCGGGUCGGCCGGUCCGCCUCACGGCGAGCACCGACCUACUCGACCCUUCGGCCGGCAUCGCGCUCCUAGCCUUAAUUGGCCGGGUCGUGUUUCCGGCAUCGUUA
rnacentral:rRNA from 1 species